GCCUCGUUAGCGCAGUAGGUAGCGCGUCAGUCUCAUAAUCUGAAGGAGUUCGAUCGUGAGUUCGAUCCUCACACGGGGCA
rnacentral:tRNA from 1 species